rnacentral:rRNA from 1 species
GAUGAACGCUGGCGGCGUGCCUAAUACAUGCAAGUCGAGCGAACGGACGAGAAGCUUGCUUCUCUGAUGUUAGCGGCGGACGGGUGAGUAACACGUGGAUAACCUACCUAUAAGACUGGGAUAACUUCGGGAAACCGUAGCUAAUACCGGAUAAUAUUUUGAACCGCAUGGUUCAAAAGUGAAAGACGGUCUUGCUGUCACUUAUAGAUGGAUCCGCGCUGCAUUAGCUAGUUGGUAAGGUAACGGCUUACCAAGGCAACGAUGCAUAGCCGACCUGAGAGGGUGAUCGGCCACACUGGAACUGAGACACGGUCCAGACUCCUACGGGAGGCAGCAGUAGGGAAUCUUCCGCAAUGGGCGAAAGCCUGGCGGAGCAACGCCGCGUGAGUGAUGAAGGUCUUCGGAUCGUAAAACUCUGUUAUUAGGGAAGAACAUAUGUGUAAGUAACUGUGCACAUCUUGACGGUACCUAAUCAGAAAGCCACGGCUAACUACGUG